rnacentral:rRNA from 1 species
UACGGAGGGUGCAAGCGUUAUCCGGAUUCACUGGGUUUAAAGGGUGUGUAGGCGGGUAUUUAAGUCAGUGGUGAAAUCUCCAGGCUCAACCUGGAAACUGCCAUUGAUACUAUUUAUCUUGAAUCCUGUGAGGUGGGCGGAAUAUAUCAUGUAGCGGUGAAAUGCUUAGAUAUGAUAUAGAACACCGAUUGCGAAGGCAGCUCACUAAACAGGCAUUGACGCUGAGGCACGAAAGCGUGGGGAUCAAACAGG